rnacentral:rRNA from 1 species
UACGAAGGGGGCUAGCGUUGUUCGGAAUCAUUGGGCGUAAAGCGCGUGUAGGCGGUCCGGUAAGUCCGCUGUGAAAGCCCGGGGCUCAACCCCGGGAGGCGGAUGGAUACUGCUUGGCUCGAGUCCGGAAGAGGCGAGUGGAAUUCCCGGUGUAGCGGUGAAAUGCGCAGAUAUCGGGAGGAACACCAGUGGCGAAGGCGGCUCACUGGCCCGGUACUGACGCUGAGGUGCGAAAGCGUGGGGAGCAAACAGG